CAAUAGCGUAUAUUAAAGUUGUUGCGGUUAAAAGCUCGUAGUUGGAUUUCUGUUAGGGACGACCGGUCCGCACUAUGUGCGUGUAUCUGGCUCGGCCUUGGCAUCCUCCUGGGGAACGGUGCUGCGCUUGAUUGCGUGGAGCGGAGUUUGAGACUUUUACUUUGAGGAAAUUAGAGUGUUCACGGCAGGCAAUCGCCUUGAAUAUAUUAGCAUGGAAUAAUAAUAUAGGAUCUUGGUUCUAUUUUGUUGGUUUCUAGGACUAAGAUAAUGAUUAAUAGGGACAAUUGGGGGCAUUCGUAUUAACACGUCAGAGGUGGAAUUCUUGGAUUGUGUUACGACGAACUACUGCGAAAGCAUUUGCCAAGGAUGUUUUCAUUGAUCAAGAACGAAAGUAAGGGGAUCGAAGACGAUUAGAUACCAU
rnacentral:rRNA from 1 species